GUUGAGGCCCAAUUCAACAUUUAAAUUACAUCAUAAACAGAUUACCGGCAGCGCGAGGGAGAUUUCCCAAAUUCCCAUUACCCGAUUGAAUAGUGAAGCCCUAAUUCAUCACUGAAACCAGGGGACCAAAAUGGGAAUAUGUUUUGAAGUGUCAAAAGCAUUUUAGAGAAACCCCAUUUGAUUAAAGUUCAUUGAUUUGCAGCUUAUAAAGGUGAAAAGGGUUUUUGGUUUUCAAGAUUGUUACCCUUCUAGAAAGAAGUUUUUGAAGUUCGUUACCUUUUGUGGCUCUGUGGUCAUGUACACUACUUCAUGAUGGGAACGGAAGGUAAAACGUUGUUUUGUUUCUGUCAUUGGGGCGGAAAGAAUAAGGUGAUUGCAGAUGGAUCCACUUAGUAUGUGGGAGGUAUUACUGAACAGAUUAUUGUGAAGACAGGCAUAAAGUACAAUGAUUUUGUGAAUGCAGUUUUUGACCGAUUAGGCAUUGAUCCUUCAGAUAAGGUCUUGCAGUUUACAGUGAAGUUUGAUAGGGCCCAAUUGAUACGGCUGAGAGACCAAGAAGGUGUCGAUACUCUGUUACAAUUUAAUGAUGGUUUUGCCCAUGUUUAUGCGUCAACUUCAGAGGAGUCUAAUUUUGCAGUUGCUCCUAAUAUGGAUACCACUAGGGUUUAAACCACUGAGGUUGAAGCAGUCUCUCCCGGAAGUGUCGAGGAAGAUCUUCUAUGGUUUCUAGAAAAGCUAAAGCUUGUUGUGCAGAAUCGCGAGGUCGUCAUAGUUUCUGGCACCAGUCUCCCUUUUCUCUCUAGGCAAGAUCUGUUCUUUCCGCAGAGGAUUGUAUGAUUGGGUAAUAGCUAGCCAGCCAGAGCAGUGGUCUAAUGCCUUGUUCAAGAAACCUCGGUGUGAUCAGCUGAAUUUUUAGAUUUACCAGAUUUAAUUGAUGAAUGGCAGAUAAUCUACUGCAACAAUCCAUCUUCUUCAUGAGUAAUUGCUAUUUCCUAGAAAUUGGAUUUUGUUUCUUCAGGUGUGUGUGUAUAUACAUAUUAUACAUACGCCUGGUAUUUUUUGGUUUAAGAGAUUAGAUGAUAGGCUAUUUGGGUUAAUUUUUUGAAUCCAAUCAACUACUGUUAUUCGGACAUUUGGUACUAAUUAUUGGCCCAUUAAAUACAUCUUGUGCCAUUA